rnacentral:rRNA from 1 species
ACACGUGGUAUCCUGUCUGAAUAUGGGGGGACCAUCCUCCAAGGCUAAAUACUCCUGACUGACCGAUAGUGAACCAGUACCGUGAGGGAAAGGCGAAAAGAACCCCGGCGAGGGGAGUGAAAAAGAACCUGAAACCGUGUACGUACAAGCAGUGGGAGCCCCACCACUAAGCCAGUGGUGAACUCCACAUACGCAUCCUUUGCUGAGGAUACGGUUAACGGAGCGAAAGCGACGUUCAACCGCAAAAGAAGCAGAGGGGGCUUAGUGGUGGGGUGACUGCGUACCUUUUGUAUAAUGGGUCAGCGACUUAUAUUCUGUAGCAAGGUUAACCGCAUAGGGGAGCCGGAGGGAAACCGAGUCUUAACCGGGCGUUAAGUUGCAGGGUAUAGACCCGAAACCCGGUGAUCUAGCCAUGGGCAGGUUGAAGGUUGGGUAACACUAACUGGAGGACCGAACCGACUAAUGUUGAAAAAUUAGCGGAUGACCUGUGGCUGGGGGUGAAAGGCCAAUCA